GCUAGUUUCAUUGCGUUUUUGGUCCCCCUGAAUAGUGGAAUGACGGUAAUACCCUUAUGUUAUUUAUUUUUCAUUUCUUUCAUAUUUUUUAAAUCUAAAUACUUAUUUAUUUAUUUAACUAAUUAAAAAAAUAAAAAUCUCUCUCCUUUGGGACCAGUCGAACUUGUACCCGAGCCUAUAGUUGAAGAACCCGAGACUGAUGCCGGAGAUAUCACUGAUAUCGACAUCCGUCAAGCGGCUAAGCUCAAAGGCCCCGAAGCUCGGCGGUGGUUCGCCAGUCAGCUUAUGCUUCCGGAGUGGAUGAUUGACGUCCCUGAUCGUCUCGAUCAUGAUUGGUAUGUAUUUGCAAGACCUUCUGGAAAACGAUGCUUUGUUGUUUCAUCAAAUGGAACAACUAUCAGCAGAUUACGCAAUGGCUCCCUCCUGCACCGAUUUCCUUCUUCUCUACCUAAUGGUGCUCAAACCAGAGAAGGUUCUCGAUCUGCCCAAUCAUAUUGCAUACUUGACUGCAUAUUUCACGAGGUAUUAAUCUUCACUUACAUAUGGAGAAUAGAGUUACAGUUUCUGAUUUUAGCUGAGUGUUUUGAUGAUGAUCUUUUGUAUAUUCUAUGAUCAUCACAGUUGGAUCAAACGACAUUGAUGGGUGCUGAAACGGCGACGAGUAGUCGUAGCACAUCAGCUCUGUUGCUUCCAUCUUCCCAAUACAGCGAUGAUCGAAAAGAAAAGAAGGAGCAAGGAUUGGGGUUUGUUUGGGGUUGCUCAGAUCAACAGAAAAGAAAAAAAAAUGGGGUGAGGCUAGAAUGGUUCUAUGGUGGGCGGAGAUGUAGCGGUUCACGGUGGAGUUUGGUAGUCGAAUGGAGGCUAGCAGGUGGUGCGGUGGCUAUCUCCAGAUUGCCGGAGGUAGCACAGCCCCUUCUUGUAUACCUGGAGCUGGAGAGAGAAAGAGAGAGAGAGAGAGAGAGAGAGAGAGAGAGAGAGAGAG